rnacentral:rRNA from 1 species
CACGUAGGGGGCGAGCGUUGUCCGGAUUUAUUGGGCGUAAAGGGCGCGUAGGCGGUUCGGCAAGUCUCUAGUGAAAUCUCAGGGCUCAACUCUGAGUCUGCUGGGGAAACUGCCGGGCUUGAGUGUGGGAGAGGAGAGUGGAAUUCCCGGUGUAGCGGUGAAAUGCGCAGAUAUCGGGAAGAACACCCGUGGCUAAGGCGGCUCUCUAGUACGGUACUGACGCUGAGACGCGAAAAGCGUGGGGAGCGAACAGG